rnacentral:rRNA from 1 species
UACGAAGGGGGCUAGCGUUGCUCGGAAUCACUGGGCGUAAAGCGCACGUAGGCGGAUUGCUACGUCAGGGGUGAAAUCCUGGAGCUCAACUCCAGAACUGCCUUUGAUACUGGCGACCUUGAGUCCGGGAGAGGUGAGUGGAACUGCGAGUGUAGAGGUGAAAUUCGUAGAUAUUCGCAAGAACACCAGUGGCGAAGGCGGCUCACUGGGCCGGUACUGACGCUGAGGUGCGAAAGCGUGGGGAGCAAACAGG